rnacentral:rRNA from 1 species
AUUUCCGGUUGAUCCUGCCGGACCUGACUGCUAUCUGAUUGGUACUAAGCCAUGCGAGUCGUUGUACAAUACAAGGCGGACUGCUCAGUAACACGUAGUUAACUUAACCUAUGGAUGGGAAUAACCUCGGGAAACUGAGAAUAAUACCCAAUGGGCCACAGUGCCUGGAAUGGCCUGUGGUUGAAAUGAUUUAUCGCCGUAGGAUAGGACUGCGGCCUAUCAGCUUGUUGGUGAGGUAAUGGCCCACCAAGGCUAUAACAGGUACGGGCUCUGAGAGGAGGGGCCCGGAGAUGGGUACUGAGACACGGACCCAGGCCCUAUGGGGCGCAGCAGGCGAGAAACCUUUGCAAUGUGCGAAAGCACGACAAGGUUAAUCCGAGUGUCUCCUGCUAAAGGAGUCUUUUGUCAGUUGUAGAAUCACUGGUGAAUAAGGGGUGGGCAAGUUCUGGUGUCAGCCGCCGCGGUAAAACCAGCACCUCGAGUGGUCAGGAGGUUUAUUGGGCCUANAGCAUCCGUAGCCGGUUGCAUAAGUUCUCGGUUAAAUCUAUGCGC